CCUACGGGUGGCAGCAGUGGGGAAUAUUGGGCAAUGGGCGCGAGCCUGACCCAGCAACGCCGCGUGAAGGAAGAAUGCUCUCCGGGUUUUAACCUCUUUUUAUAGGGGAGAGCAGAAGACGGUACCUCUUGAAUAAGCCACAGCUAACUACGUGCCAGCAGCCGCCGUCAUACGUAGGUGGCCAGCGUUGUCCGGAUUUACUGCGUGUAAAGGGCGUGCAGCCGGGAAGACAAGUCAGAUGUGAAAGCCCGCGGCUCAACCGAGGAACUGCAUUUGAAACUGGUUUUCUUGAGUACCGGAGAGGUCAUCGGAAUUCGUUGUGUAGCGGUGAAAUGCGUAGAUAUAAGGAAGAACACCAGUGGCGAAGGCGGAUUACUGGACGGCAACUGACGGUGAGGCGCGAAAGCGUGGGGAGCAAACAGGAUUAGAUACCCGUGUAGUC
rnacentral:rRNA from 1 species